rnacentral:rRNA from 1 species
UACUGCAUUUUUUCUUACACAUGUGUUUUUCUUUUUUUGAAAACUUUGCUUUGGUAGGCUUCUAUAUGGGGCCUGCCAGAGAUUAAACUCAACCAAAUUUUAUUUAAUGUCAACCGAUUAUUUAAUAGUCAAAACUUUCAACAACGGAUCUCUUGGUUCUCGCAUCGAUGAAGAACGCAGCGAAAUGCGAUAAGUAAUAUGAAUUGCAGAUAUUCGUGAAUCAUCGAAUCUUUGAACGCACAUUGCGCCCUUUGGUAUUCCAAAGGGCAUGCCUGUUUGAGCGUCAUUUCUCCCUCAAACCCUCGGGUUUGGUGUUGAGCGAUACGCUGGGUUUGCUUGAAAGAAAGGCGGAGUAUAAACUAAUGGAUAGGUUUUUUCCACUCAUUGGUACAAACUCCAAAACUUCUUCCAAAUUCGACCUCAAAUCAGGUAGGACUACCCGCUGAACUUAAGCAUAUCAAUAAGCGGAGG